rnacentral:rRNA from 1 species
AACGAACGCUGGCGGCAGGCUUAACACAUGCAAGUCGAACGCGUGUAGCAAUACACGAGUGGCGCACGGGUGAGUAACACGUGGAUAUCUGCCUUUUGGUUCGGAAUAACUCCGGGAAACUGGAGCUAAUACCGGAUGGUUCCUACGGGAUAAAGAUUUAUCGCCAAAAGAUGAGUCCGCGCACGAUUAGCUAGUUGGUGAGGUAACGGCUCACCAAGGCGACGAUCGUUAGCUGGUCUGAGAGGACGAUCAGCCACACUGGGACUGAGACACGGCCCAGACUCCUACGGGAGGCAGCAGUGGGGAAUAUUGGACAAUGGGGGCAACCCUGAUCCAGCCAUGCCGCGUGAGUGAUGAAGGCCUUCGGGUUGUAAAGCUCUUUUGGCGGGGACGAUGAUGACGGUACCCGCAGAAUAAGCCCCGGCUAACUUCGUGCCAGCCGCCGCGGUAA